GAGGGGGAUAACGACUGGAAACGGUCGCUAAUACCGCAUAUGCCGAGAGGUGAAAUCUAAUUGGCCUGAGGAUGAGCUCGCGUCGGAUUAGCUAGUUGGUGGGGUAAGGGCCUACCAAGGCGACGAUCCGUAGCUGGUCUGAGAGGAUGAUCAGCCACACUGGGACUGAGACACGGCCCAGACUCCUACGGGAGGCAGCAGUGGGGAAUUUUCCGCAAUGGGCGAAAGCCUGACGGAGCAAGACCGCGUGCGGGAAGAAGGUCUGUGGAUUGUAAACCGCUUUUGAUAGGGAAGAUGAUGACGGUACCUAUCGAAUCAGCCUCGGCUAACUCCGUGCCAGCAGCCGCGGUAAUACGGAGGAGGCAAGCGUUAUCCGGAAUUAUUGGGCGUAAAGCGUCCGCAGGUGGUUUGUCAAGUCUGCUGUCAAAGCGCGGAGCUUAACUCCGUAAAGGCAGUGGAAACUGACAGGCUAGAGUGCGAUAGGGGCAGGGGGAAUUCCCAGUGUAGCGGUGAAAUGCGUAGAUAUUGGGAAGAACAUCGGUGGCGAAAGCGCCCUGCUGGGUCUGCACUGACACUGAGGGACGAAAGCUAGGGGAGCGA
rnacentral:rRNA from 1 species